GCCGGGCUCAGUGGCGCGUGCCUGUAGUCCCAGCUACUCGGGAAGCUGAGGUGGGAGGAUCGCUUGAGCCCAGGAGUUCUGGGCUGUAGUGUGCUAUGCUGAUUGGGUGUCUGCACUAAGUUCGGCAUCAAUAUGGCGACCUCCCAGGAGCAGGGGACCACCAGGUUGCCUAAGGAGGGGUGAACUGGCCCAGGUUGGAAACGGAGCAGGUGAAAACUCCCAUGCUGAUCAGUAGUGGGAUUGUGCCUGUGAAUAGCCACUGCACUCCAGCCUGGGCAACAUAGUGAGACCCCGUCUCN
rnacentral:SRP_RNA from 1 species